rnacentral:rRNA from 1 species
AGGAAAAAUCCCUGGNNGGCGUGCCUAAUACAUGCAAGUCGAGCGAAUCGAUGGGAGCUUGCUCCCUGAGAUUAGCGGCGGACGGGUGAGUAACACGUGGGCAACCUGCCUAUAAGACUGGGAUAACUUCGGGAAACCGGAGCUAAUACCGGAUACGUUCUUUUCUCGCAUGAGAGAAGAUGGAAAGACGGUUUACGCUGUCACUUAUAGAUGGGCCCGCGGCGCAUUAGCUAGUUGGUGAGGUAAUGGCUCACCAAGGCGACGAUGCGUAGCCGACCUGAGAGGGUGAUCGGCCACACUGGGACUGAGACACGGCCCAAACUCCUACGGGAGGCAGCAGUAGGGAAUCUUCCGCAAUGGACAAAAGUCUGACGGAGCAACGCCGCGUGAACGAAGAAGGCCUUCGGGUCGUAAAGUUCUGUUGUUAGGGAAGAACAAGUACCAGAGUAACUGCUGGUACCUUGACGGUACCUAACCAGAAAGCCACGGCUAACUACGUGCCAGCAGCCCGCGGUAAUACGUAGGUGGCAAGCGUUGUCCCGGAAUUAUUGGGCGUAAAGCGCGCGCAGGUGGUUCCUUAAGUCUGAUGUGAAAGCCCACGGCUCAACCGUGGAGGGUCAUUGGAAACUGGGGAACUUGAGUGCAAAGAGGAAAGUGGAAUUCCAGUGUACCGGUGAAUUGCGUAGAGAUUUGGAGGAACACCCGUUGGCCGAUGCGACUUUCUGCUCUGUAACUGAACAUUGAGGGCCCAAAGCUGGGGAAGAAACAGGAUAAAAUCCCUGGUANUCCCCCGUUAAACA